AUUGAACGCUGGCGGCAGGCUUAACACAUGCAAGUCGAGCGGGGUGAUGGUGCUUGCACUAUCACUUAGCGGCGGACGGGUGAGUAAUGCUUAGGAAUCUGCCUAUUAGUGGGGGACAACAUCUCGACAGGGGUGCUAAUACCGCAUACGUCCUACGGGAGAAAGCAGGGGAUCACGUGUGACCUUCCGCCAAUAGAUGAGCCUAAGUCGGAUUAGCUAGUUGGUGGGGUAAAGGCCUACCAAGGCGACGAUCUGUAGCGGGUCUGAGAGGAUGAUCCGCCACGCUGGGACUGAGACACGGCCCAGACUCCUACGGGAGGCAGCAGUGGGGAAUAUUGGACAAUGGGGGGAACCCUGAUCCAGCCAUGCCGCGUGUGUGAAGAAGGCCUUAUGGUUGUAAAGCACUUUAAGCGAGGAGGAGGCUCUUUUGGUUAAUACCCAGAAUGAGUGGACGUUACUCGCAGAAUAAGCACCGGCUAACUCUGUGCCAGCCGCCGCCGUAAAAC
rnacentral:rRNA from 1 species